rnacentral:rRNA from 1 species
CCUACGGGAGGCCGCAGUGAGGAAUAUUGGUCAAUGGGCGCUAGCCUGAACCAGCCAAGUAGCGUGAAGGAUGACUGCCCUAUGGGUUGUAAACUUCUUUUAUAUGGGAAUAAAGUGCAGUAUGUAUACUGCUUUGCAUGUACCUUAUGAAUAAGGAUCGGCUAACUCCGUGCCAGCAGCCGCUGUAAUACGGAGGAUCCGAGCGUUAUCCUGAUUUCUUGGGUUUAGAGGGAGCGUAGGCGGGUUGUUAAGUAAGUUGGGAAAGUUUGCGGCUCAACCGUAAAAUUGCAGUUGAUACUGGCAUCCUUGAGUACAGUAGAGGUAUGCGGAAUUCGUGGUGUAGCGGUGAAAUGCUUAGAUAUCACGAAGAACUCCGAUGGAGAAGGCAGCCUGCUGGACUGUAACUGACGCUGAUGCUCGAAAGUGUGGGUAUCAAACAGGAUUAGAUACCCUAGUAGUC